rnacentral:snRNA from 1 species
GACGCUUAAAAUCAAGUGUAGUAUCUAUUCUUAUUAGUUUAAUAUCUGAUAUGUCCUUUAUUUGAGGACUGUAUAUUAAAUUGAUUUUCGAAACAGACGAAUGGAAUAGGAGCUUACUCUGUCCACCCCAUGCAUUGACCUGGUAUUGCAAUGCCUCCAGAAAUGGUGCGAAGAGA